CAUUAUUGAAUAUUCUUGAUGGGUUGUAGCUGGCUCUCYGGAGCAUGUGCACACUUGUCUUGACUUUAUUCGUCCACCUGUGCACCUUUUGUAGUCUUGGGGGUUGAGAGCAGUCGACUAUCGGAUGGCUAUGGCCUUUCCGGACAUGAGGAUUGCUGAGUGCGAAAGCAUACAGCUCUUCUCAAAUGACUUCUCCCUCGAGUACUAUGUAUUCAUAUACCACAUAGUAUGUUGUAGAAUGUGAUCAAUGGGCCUAUGUGCCUAUAAUAAUGAAAUACAACUUUCAGCAACGGAUCUCUUGGCUCUCGCAUCGAUGAAGAACGCAGCGAAAUGCGAUAAGUAAUGUGAAUUGCAGAAUUCAGUGAAUCAUCGAAUCUUUGAACGCACCUUGCGCUCCUUGGUAUUCCGAGGAGCAUGCCUGUUUGAGUGUCAUUAAAUUCUCAACCCCUCCAGCUUUUGCGAGUUGUGAUGGGGCUUGGAUCUGGGAGUUUGCGGGUCUUUAUCAAUAAAGGUCAGCUCUCCUGAAAUGCAUUAGCGGAACCGUUUGCAGUCCCGUCACUAGUGUGAUAAUUAUCUACACUGUGAUGAUUGCUCUCUGACUAGUUCAGCUGCUAAUCGUCCACUAUGGACAACACUUAAUGAAAUUCUUGACCUCAAAUCAGGUAGGACUACCCGCUGAACUUAAGCAUAUCAAUAAGCGGAGGAAAAGAAACUAACAAGGAUUCCCCUAGUAACUGCGAGUGAAGCGGGAAAAGCUCAAAUUUAAAAUCUGGCGGUCUCUGGCCGUCCGAGUUGUAAUCUAGAGAAGUGAUGCCCGCGCUGGACCGUGUACAAGUCUCCUGGAAUGGAGCGUCAUAGAGGGUGAGAAUCCCGUCUCUGACACGGACUACCAGGGCUUUGUGGUAUCCUCUCAAAGAGUCGAGUUGUUUGGGAAUGCAGCUCUAAAUGGGUGGUAAAUUCCAUCUAAAGCUAAAUAUNGGCGAGAGACCGAUAGCGAACCAGUACCGUGAGGGAAAGAUGAAAAGAACUUUGGAAAGAGAGUUAAACAGUACGUGAAAUUGCUGAAAGGGAAAC
rnacentral:rRNA from 1 species